AGAGCGAACGCUGGCGGCAGGCCUAACACAUGCAAGUCGAACGGACUCUUCGGAGUUAGUGGCGGACGGGUGAGUAACACGUGGGAACGUGCCUUUAGGUUCGGAAUAGCUCCUGGAAACGGGUGGUAAUACCGAAUGUGCCCUUCGGGGGAAAGAUUUAUCGCCUUUAGAGCGGCCCGCGUCUGAUUAGCUUGUUGGUGAGGUAAUGGCUCACCAAGGCUACGAUCAGUAGCUGGUCUGAGAGGAUGACCAGCCACAUUGGGACUGAGACACGGCCCAAACUCCUACGGGAGGCAGCAGUGGGGAAUCUUGCGCAAUGGGCGAAAGCCUGACGCAGCCAUGCCGCGUGUAUGAUGAAGGUCUUAGGAUUGUAAAAUACUUUCACCGGUGAAGAUAAUGACUGUAGCCGGAGAAGAAGCCCCGGCUAACUUCGUGCCAGCCAGCCGC
rnacentral:rRNA from 1 species